AACGAACGCUGGCGGCAGGCUUAACACAUGCAAGUCGAGCGCCCCGCAAGGGGAGCGGCAGACGGGUGAGUAACGCGUGGGAACGUACCCUUUGCUACGGAAUAGCUCCGGGAAACUGGAAUUAAUACCGUAUGUGCCCUACGGGGGAAAGAUUUAUCCGCAAAGGAUCGGCCCGCGUUGGAUUAGCUAGUUGGUGGGGUAAUGGCCUACCAAGGCGACGAUCCAUAGCUGGUCUGAGAGGAUGAUCAGCCACAUUGGGACUGAGACACGGCCCAAACUCCUACGGGAGGCAGCAGUGGGGAAUCUUAGACAAUGGGGGAAACCCUGAUCUAGCCAUGCCGCGUGAGCGAUGAAGGCCUUAGGGUUGUAAAGCUCUUUCAGUGGGGAAGAUAAUGACGGUACCCACAGAAGAAGCCCCGGCUAACUCCGUGCCAGCAGCCGCCGUAAGAC
rnacentral:rRNA from 1 species